AUUGAACGCUGGCGGCAGGCCUAACACAUGCAAGUCGAGCGGAUGAAGGGAGCUUGCUCCUGGAUUCAGCGGCGGACGGGUGAGUAAUGCCUAGGAAUCUGCCUGGUAGUGGGGGAUAACGUCCGGACACGGGCGCUAAUACCGCAUACGUCCUGAGGGAGAAAGUGGGGGAUCUUCGGACCUCACGCUAUCAGAUGAGCCUAGGUCGGAUUAGCUAGUUGGUGGGGUAAAGGCCUACCAAGGCGACGAUCCGUAACUGGUCUGAGAGGAUGAUCAGUCACACUGGAACUGAGACACGGUCCAGACUCCUACGGGAGGCAGCAGUGGGGAAUAUUGGACAAUGGGCGAAAGCCUGAUCCAGCCAUGCCGCGUGUGUGAAGAAGGUCUUCGGAUUGUAAAGCACUUUAAGUUGGGAGGAAGGGCAGUAAGUUAAUACCUUGCUGUUUUGACGUUACCAACAGAAGAAGCACCGGCUAACUUCGUG
rnacentral:rRNA from 1 species